AGGACAGACUGUCUGAAGGCCAGAAGUUCCUUGUUAAUGGGGUAGCAUAGACUUGCAAGACACUGCCCAAGUGAUGGCAAGGCCACCUCUACUUCCAUUUAAGGUCAUCUGCAUGCUAAGUGACACCCACCCACUGCUGGAAGCCUUGUUCAAGAUAGGUUUGAUGGAUGUGUAAACACCAGGAACAGUCAGGAACAAAAAAGCUCAUCUCUAUGAAUGUGGCCUGGGGAAAAAGUAAUAAGCUCACAUUGAGACUCCACUGAGAAGAGAGGAGGAAGAGAGUGAUUUCCUUCUUGUUCCUGCUUAUAUUCUGAGUCUGCCUGCUAUGUCACUUCCUGCCUGGAUCACAAGACUUCUUUUUACUACAUUUCCCAGAAUCCUCCUCAACUCCUAGUCCCACCUAUCUUACCUCUCUAUUGGCCAAACAGUGCUUUAUUUAUCAACCAGUAAGACAAACAUAUACACAGAACUUCCCCCAUCAAAUGGACCCUAUCUAAAGAACAGGUCUCUGGGGGAAGAAAAUACAGGCUCAAAAAUGUGAAUUCUUCACAAUUCACUUUAAUUGGCCGACAUCUUAAGCUGCUUGGCUUUGUGUCCUCCAACCCAUCUUGCAUACUUUCUCAAUGAACUCAUCUCAUCUCUUCUACACAAAAGAUACACCUCAGACAUAGUGCUUCCACAAUUAUGACACUGCUAUAUUCCAGUGAUCUGUGUCUCCUCCAUGCUUUAUGGAGUAGUCCUUUUCUAGCCAUUACAACUGCAUUUACUGAAGAUUUUCAGCCUUUCAGUGGCUUAGAUGCCUGAUCAUCAAGAACCCUGGCAAUGUGCAAAAGCUGGAAACUACAUCAUUUCAAACAAGAAAGCAAAGAGGAUUUUCCUCUGUUAGCUGAUGGAUAGGUAUCCUCUUCCAGAAUGGGAAAGAAUCUUAUCUAUUUCAAAAAAGAUUAAAACAGUCACUAGAAAAACUGAAAACAGAAGUUGAACUUAAUUAUGAAAAGCAUUUGAAGCUCAACUUUAUUGAAAAAGCAAGUUCAGCAACAAAAACUGGAGAUUCAUUAUUGCAACUGAAAUGACUUGAAACAAAUGAGAGUGAUCUUCUAGAAGAGUGUGAUGGGCUCUUAAUAGAAUUUUGAGGAACACACAGCUCUGAGUUCUCACACAGACUCAUGUAUUUGCUUGAUUGUUGUUAGUUUGAAAGUAGCUGAAACUCAGUGGCCCCAUGCCAACACAAACUUACAGAGGUCUCCUGAUUCACUUCUAACUCUGCAGGUACUUGGGAAAUCUUUCCUAGGAGCCUCAUAAAGAACUGGGAGACAUUGCCACACUUUGACAAAGGGAUAGCAAGAUAAGGACAAAAGGAAUCACAAAUAUAACAGCACAACAACUUCGUUGUAAAACCUGUUUUGAUUAUUUAUCCCCUUCAUGCUUUGAGGAAGUUAUCAUAGAUCCAUUCUGCCUCAUUUCACCCACUUGGAUUCAAUAUAUAUAUAUAUUGAAGACAAUGCAUGGUGUGGUACGUGCGCUUACACACACACACACAAACACACACACACACUCUUUGUGAAGCUAGCC
ensembl:lncRNA